rnacentral:lncRNA from 10 species
GUGGAGACACAGCCAAACCAUAUCCCUUUUAUAUGAAAAUCCAGGUGGGCAGAUUUUUCUCUCAGCAGCUGUUCCCUGCAGAGUCUCCUUGCAGAGCCUUUCCUUGGACUUUCCAAAUCCAGCCCUUGGCUAAGGACUGACAGCAUCUCUCAGGCAGACCACUGCCUGCCCCUACCCUGUGCAGCUUCCUCCCACACAGCCUCACCCACAAACCCACCUUUCUCCACAGCCACAAACUCCGAUCUCUGCCUUCUUAGAGCAGAGAGGCCAUUCCUCUCCACGUGGUCUCACCUCCCUGCACCCUAACUGAAACCUGGGAGUGAGGGGAAAGAGGAGCUCAGGUCAUGUGCCUCCCGCCUCUCAAGGAUGGCAGCCUUGCGCUGGCUGUAGCAGAAUACCGGAAAAGAUCUGCCUAAGGUGGUUAAUCUGUGUGCGGGCAGGUGGGCUGAUGCAGAACCCCCUGUGGCUGGAGCAGGUCUUCACCGGUCAAGGCACAUCCAGGUUGAUUCCUCUUCUGGAGGCUUCACAAUACCUGCUCCAGGAGUGGCUCAUCCAGUCACAAAGCUCACCUCCUCUCCCUCCUCCAGGAAGAAUUCCAGUGUAAGAAACAGCAGAAUCAACAGCCCUGAGGCACAAGGAGCUUGGCACCUUCCAGGAAGGAAGAAGCCCAGGGGGCUGAGCAUGGGGACUGGAUCAAGAGAUCAAAAGAGGCCAGGAGGCAGGAAGGCCACAGCCUCAGACAGCCAGGCCAUAUUAUUUCAUUUCCACUCCACAAAUCCAACAUAGUUAAUUGGGUUUGAUAUUAAUGAGCUUGUACAGCUAAAACAUGGAAAUAUAAUAACUACUGUUGAUCGAUCUUUCAGCCCCGUCACGAAGGGCCCUCGUAACUGGACCUCAUGCCAAACAACUCGUUACAAAAAGAGCUAGGGUCUCAGACCACGCAGAAGCUUCAUGAGACCCCUCCUUGUCUGCAUGGACAAGUGGUCGACUCUGGAUCCCAAGAUGUUGCUUCCCAGUUUGGUGGUGAAUCCUCCAUAGUCUGCUAACUGAAAGGCUCAACACUCCAGUGAAGAAGAAACCACAAAUGAUGAACAAAUGUUUUGUCACUCUUUCAGAUUCAGAAAUUUUGCUUGAAAAAAGUCUGAAGAAACUAAUUUAGGAAAGAAACCUCUGCCAAUAACUCUAAAGAGUUUGAAUUGGUUGCCUUUAUUCCUAACACUAUGAUGUUUUGGGAUAGGAACUAGUAGAUGGUAUUUUUUCUUUCCCAUUGGCAGUAUAUCAUUUACAACAGAUGUUCCCGACUCAGGAUAAAAUGUAACUGGCAGCCAGAGUCACCCACCAGCCCCUGAGGAAAGGGCUCAACCUUGAGAACAUCUGGCUGGCUUCAAGAAGGUCACACAAAUACAAGAUGAUGCUGAGGAUAAGACAAGUGGUUUUGAGAGAGGAAAACCUUUAAAAAUAUUUGGAAGAGUCCUGAAGACCAAUAAAAUAAAGACACUGCAAUACUUCAUGGACACCAGAGAGCAAUUUAACACUGAAAUGAAAGCAACAUGUUGCACCUGAACACUGAAAAAAGCCCAUGUGUUAAGAGGAAGAAGAAAUAUGCAAUUCACUGCAAUAAAUAUUGAACCUUUAAAAAACAGAAGGAACAUGAAAACUAAAGGACACUGGGCCACAGCAAAUAAGGUGGCGGCAGCCAUCCCAUAAUGAUUACAUGAUCUCCAUGAUUGUAAAAUGUAUAUGCCACCUGAAUUUAUUCUUAGACCUUCUCUCAAAGAUGUCUGCAUUCAACACAGGCAAUAACUGCAGGUAAUAGUGAAGAAUCCUUCAGGCAUGAUAGAGGAACAGACUAAGUGUGGGAAAAGGAAGAACUAGGCCGGGCGCGGUGGCUCACGCCUGUAAUCCCAGCACUUUGGGAGGCCGAGGCGGGCGGA